ensembl:lncRNA
UUUGCUCAAGAUCCCCCUGUACCCAAGGCUUUCUGAAGGGUUAAACUUGGAAACCCCCAUAUAUGUGUAGGCACAAGGAUGGACAAUUCUGUGCCACCCUGUGUCUGCGAGCUGGGAACAUCCCAUUCACAACCGACCUGCCCCUCACUGGGACUGAGAAGUACUCACUACCUGUGGCAGAUUAACUGAGGGUGUGUGGUGGAUGGGUGGUGAUGGGCUCUCCUCCAGUGCACGGCUUUGAUUUAUUGGUGCUUCCUGACCCUGACAGCUGGCUCUGUGCCGUGCACAGCAGUCCUUGGAUCAUCAUGGUGAGUUAAAGCAUUGCAUGAAGCUCUCCCUGCAGAUAAAGGAAGGUGAUUUGAGCAAAUAGCUUGCCUCUGAUCCUCAAAGUUUCAGUGCAGUGUCCCCUCUUCCCAUCACAGUGGGUCUGUAGUGCUUUUGUGCUGGGAGAGAUUUCUCUGACACUCUUUGGAUUGGAGAUAAAAACCUGAGGAAUGAGUGUACCCCACUAACUGGACCUGCCCCACCUGCAGAGAGCCUGGGGACACCUGGUUGUAUUUAGGGAUGCCAGCGUGGGCAAGAUGAAUCCAUCCCAUGCAGAGCUCUGGCAGCCACCCACCAGGAAUUGCCCUGAAAAAUAGGGGUCUCUAUGAAAUCCAUGCUGCCAGAUAGUGGAGCUGUCUGCAGACACCAAGAAAAGCAGAAUUACUCAUUGCAAUGAUGGUCUGACACAAGUUCCUAUGUCAUGGUCACACACUUAAUACAGUAACAACUACUGACAACAAGAAAAUGCUACAAGUUCAGAAAAUACUGUGUUUUGCUUGACUUUACUAGCAGGUAAGCAAAGUAAAUUGCCCAGAGUCCUUCUGUCCCAGUUCAGGCCAGCUCUGCCUGAGCUGAAUCACCUCCCAGACACCAAGAAGACCACAAGCUCGGGGCUGUGGGUUAAGGUACAGACCCAGCACAUAACAAAGCUGUUGUUGCACACUUCCCCCUGGGAGAGCUCAUCAGGUUCAGAGAGUGAUGGCUCCAUAAGCAGUGUUGUGAACAGAAGUGCUUUGGUUCCAGGCAUUGUCAUUUAGACAAUUUAGUUGUCUCUGAAGACAAAGAGGUGACUUGCAUACAGUGGAUGAGCAUCUGCAAAGCUGAGAAUAGCAGAAUCUGAGAAGCUUUUCUCAUCCUGUAGAGAGAAGGCAUAGUGAGAAGCCAAAUGCAUGGAAGUCAUGCCUUGUAGCAGAGCUUGAAGGCAUUAUCACCAGUGGCAAACUGUGACAAUAUGGACCUGCUGACCCCGUAUUGCCCCAGGAGCUGUGCAGGGGUGAGUGAGGACCUGCUGUCACAUCCCACUUUGCUGUUGUCCAAUGGAAUCCAACUGUGGUCCUGGACAUACAUGAAGGUUUUGUCCCAGAGACAAGCUCCACUCCUUGCCUUGUGCUCAUCCCUGUGUCAAUUAGAAGAACUGAUGAUCCCUUGUAAAUGUGUAACAGCUGGGAUUACCUCUGUGGGAUGAACGUUUUGCCAACCUUGAGGUUAGUUAUCCAAAAACUCUUGCCAGAAACAACAAACCUGGCACCUGCUGUGAGUACACCUGGUGCCAAACAUCACAGCAGGGCAUGGUAAGAAGAACCCUCCAACAUCCAGCCUGCCACUGCCACCCAUGUCCAGUCAUCAGCCCAGCCCUGAGAUGGACACUGGUGUUUGAGACGGGUGGGUAUGCCUUGGAGUUUGCGUAGGGAAGGCUUGAAACUGAAAUGCAUGAGAUUGAGUGCCUUGGCUUGUUUUUCUUCUUUGCUUUGCCUUGGCUCGCUGAACAACCCCAUCUGGCUUUUCUGAACAGCAGUGUUACUCACCUUGUGCUUUAUGCUUUCCUGGGGAUCAGUAAUAAACAUCCCUUCAGUCGAUAAUGAAACAGGAAGGAAAAUUAGCGGCGCUUCUACCGUGAGCUCAAAGCCAAUCAAUCCCAGAGAAAUGCCAUGGCUCUCACACAGGGGUCAGAUACCUGCUGGGACUGAUGCCCACCUCUCCCUUCUUCAGCUUUAUACGUCCCUGUUUUUCCAACAAAUGCUAUUUUUCUCCCUAAAUUCAAACCUUUCCCAGGAGCAGAUGGCUCCUCCAUCUAUUUCUACCUUUAAGGUGACAUUUGGCAAAGCUUUAAAAUCAUCCAUGUAUUCGUUUAGAGCAGGGAAAGGCUUGGGGGGAGGUGGAGGGAGCUGAGGAAAGGCAGACCCACCUGGCUUUGGGAUGACUGCUUCAGGGAGACAAUUGCAACCCACAAAUAUUGAAUGAUAUUGGUGCCGUGGAAGGAAAUAUUUAUGGUGGAAGAGGUGGGGGGGUGAAAACAGAGGCCCAGGCUGAGGGCUAAGAAGAAGUAUCCGCCUGUGAAUUUGGCCUCCUGAGUGCAGGUGAGGUGGAAGCUCCAUCAUUUGGGGAUGCUCAGAAUUGCACUGAACAAGGUCUGAGUGAAUUCCCUCCAGGGAGCAAUCAUGCACCAGCUGAGACAGAUCAAUCCUGCCUCCACACCUCUGCCUUUCACUACAUUUUCUUGUAGAACUGUGGGUAUCACUAAGGAAAUUAUUAGACCCCUUUCCCCAUGGCUGUGUGCUGCCUCCCUUCCACAAGAGCUGCAAUGGCCCUGCCACAUUGGUUUUCCCAGGGCUGUUUGAACUCUGCGUGUAGGGAAGAGGGAUGCUCAGCCCCUGCAUUGCAGUGGGUUCUGUGGCCAUCAUGCUGCCAUUGACUGCAACCAACCCCAACAACAGGUGUCUGAGGACAACAAGCAAAGCAGUUUGGCAUCAUCCUUCCUCUGGCACCAUGGGUGUUGUCAGAGGGAUGGAUAACAAAAGAGAAAGAGAGCAAAGGAGAGCCAGAGCUGCUGGAGCGAGAUGCCUGUUGGGAGCUGGAAAAUAAUCCAAAGCCUUUCCCAGAAGAGCUCAAGGAUUAAAGCAUCCAUUCUGGGGUGGGCAGCAUGAAGGCUGGCAGUGGUUGGGCAGCACCAGAUGUGAAAAAGCUUUGUGGAAGGAAAGCCUCGGUGCCCAGAGAGAGCUGAGCUCUUGACUGAUGUGUCUG